UAUUUUUUUCAUGUGAAUAAGGUAGGGGUUUGUCCCGAAUCGGUGGAAAUCCAUCAACUAUCCCCCUUCCGCCGCCGCCACCGCCACCGCUUCCAACAUUGGGCGCAACUGUCCCUUCCGCCGCCGCCCUUCCCCGGUGCGGCGACGCCACCCCGCUCCACCAGGAGCCCAGGACCGGCGGGCUGGGGCCUCCCCGUACGAACGCGCCAGCGCUACUGCGUGCUGGUCCAGCAACCCCAGCCGUCCAGGGGACGCCAUCGCCACCGCCUGGUCUCCAGCAUCCAGCUACUCCAGCCGUCCCUCCGGUUGCCUCCCUCCUCUCCACACUCCAGACAGGACGACCGGCGGUCGCCUCCCUCUAGUCCUGACCAGGACGCUGUGUAUCGAUGGAUUUAUAAUCUAUAAAGGAGCUAUUGCUUUCUCCUAGACCAAGUGAGGAAUACUUGGCUGGUGUAGCUGGUUUUCUUGACUUUGCAUACAUCGGGAAAAGUUCUGAUGCCAAGAUCCUUUGCCCAUGCAUCAUAUGUGUCAAUGGAUCGUUACGGAAGCGGGAGGACGUGUAUGAUCACUUGGAUAUACUGUUUGGGGUUGCCAUGGGGAAACAACAUCAUUCAUCUCUGCUAACAAACAAGGUGAAACUCCAACACACAUGAGAAGUAACAAAAGGUCACGAUCACAGUUUGAAGGAACAAAAUCUAAUAUGCGACAGUUAGUGGAAGAUGUUUUCUGUGGACCUCCAAUGAUAGAACCUGAAACCCAAAAUCCAUCUAAACCAGGACCAUACCCUGAAUCCCAAGCUUUCUAUGACCUUUUGAGAGAUGCAGAUCAACCUUUAUGGCCAGGCUGUGAACUAUCCAUACUUUCUCUUGUUGUUAUUCUCUUCCACAUAAAAGCCACUAACAAGUGGAGCAAUAAAUCUUUAAAUGAUCUGGUAGCAGUUCUGCAGAAAGCAAUUCUAAUGGUAAGAACUUACCUAGUACAUUUUCUGACGCGAAGAAGAUCGUUGGAAAGCUUGGGCUUAGUUAUGUGAGAAUUCAUUCUUGUGAAAAUAACUGCCAGCUUUAUCGAAAAGAGAAAGCGAGUGAUGAUUUUUGUUCAGUGUGUGGAACUUCAAGGUGGAAGAACAUACCAUAUAAAACUACUUUGACUAUAAGAAGGAAAGAAGGAAGGCAAUCCCAAGGAAGGUGUUAUGGUACUUUCCAAUUAAGCCAAGGCUUAAGAGGCUUUUCAUGCACAAAGAUACAGCUACAGCUUUAAGAUGGCAUGACCAAGAACGCACAAAGGUUGGAGCAUUGCAUCAUUUAGCUGAUUCAGAGGCUUGGAAGGCCAUUGAUUCCAAGUAUAAACACAUCGCAUCAAAUUCCCGGAACAUGAGGUUUGGAAUAGGAGCCGAUCAAGUGUUUUACCUAGAAGACGAACUGAACCCAGGUUGGUCAGUGGUGAUGUAGAAUAAACUACCUAGAGAUAGAUGUGACACUGGAACUGAUGAAUGCACACGAGACGUAGAAGCUGAGCCAUUCCAUGUUUCUCACCUCACAGAUAUGUUUAAAAAGAAAAGGAAAUAUCAACAUUGGGUAAGAUCCGAUAUUGAGGGAACAAUUGUCGGUGCUAAUGAUAAUGCUUUGAUCGAUGAAGAACAGUGAUGAUACAUCAUAUAAAGAUUGUUGGCUGAGCUUACACCCUUCAGAAAAUUCGAAGGAAUGAGGAAAUUUUGCAAGUGAAGAUUACAAGGAUUGUUCUAAACUGAUGGAUGAAGCAAUGUGUUCUUUUAGCGGGCUUUUAUAUGUUUGCAUAGUUUUUGCACUUCAAACAUGAAGCUUGGAAAAAUUCAGAAAAUUGUUACUAAAGUUAAGCUUCAUGUAUGACAAAUUGUCAUUGGAAAUAGAUACACUUUUGUCGAAGAAGUAUUAUGUUAGAUUUACCAUCUUGUAAACUUAGUUUAUGUCUGUUUGAAAUUGGCGUUUUGAUUUAUGUGGGAUGCUUGUUUGCUGUCAAAACCUGAUUCAAUAUUUCCUUUGUUGUUGUGAACCAGCCAUUGCACGUGUUACUUCUGUUGCUUGCACUUGCAGCUAGGUGCUAGCUGUUUUGCCUGUUGCUUACACUUGCAGCUGGUUGCUAGCCAUCUUGCCGCUCUGAUCGGGUGCCUAACUAUUGAUGAUAUGCAAGGUGAUCUGCAGAUAUAGCUAGACCCCUAGUAUAGUCCUGAGCUGGUAUUAUGCCUCUUGAUUUUGUUUUGACUGGGUUUUUUGUUAGUACUCUGAUGUACCAUUUGCCUGUUGAGUGAAUGUUGGUUCACUUGCCUGCAGUUGAUACCUAAAAGAAAUAUUUAUGUUAAUCCUUAACGCCGUGAGUGGUAGUUUUUUUA